GACAGAGGUGCCGAGCGUUAGGCGGAAUCACUGGGCUUAAAGCGUGUGUAGGCGGACUCGUAAGUGCUUUGUGAAAUCCCAUGGCUCACCCAUGGAACUGCUUGGCAUACUGCGAGCCUUGAGCCACUUAGGGGCAACCGGAACAAACGGUGGAGCGGUGAAAUGCGUAGAUAUUGGGAGGAACACCAGUGGCGAAGGCGGCUCACUGGACCGGAACUGACGCUGAGGCGCGAAAGCGUGGGGAGCAAACAGG
rnacentral:rRNA from 1 species